AAAAGGGGGGAAUUGGAGGGGGGAGAGGGAGGGAAAUGGGGGAGAAAGGGGCCCCCCUUCCUUCUUUCCUGGCCCUUUCCCAGCCCUUUCCCAGCCCUUUCCCAUCUAUUUCCUGGCUGUUUCCCAUCUAUUUCCCCUCUAUUUCCUGGCCCUUUCCUGACCCUUUCCCAUCUAUUUCCUGGCCCUUUCCCAGCUGCUUCCCAUCUAUUUCCUGGCUGUUUCCCAGCCCUUUCCCAUCUAUUUCCUGACCCUUUCCCAUCUCUUUCCCAUCUAUUUCCCCUCUAUUUCCUGGCCCUUUCCUGGCCCUUUCCCAUCUAUUUCCCAUCUGUUUCCUGGCCCUUUUCCAUCCAUUUCCCAUCUCUUUCCCAUCUAUUUCCUGGCCCUUUCCUGGCCCUUUCCCAUCUAUUUCCUGGCCCUUUCCUAACCCUUUCCCAUCUAUUUCCCCCCUCUUUCCCCUCUAUUUCCUGACCCUUUCCCAUCUCUUUCCCAUCUCUUUCCCAUCUCUUUCCCAUCUCUUUCCCAUCUAUUUCCCAUCUCUUUCCCCUCUAUUUCCUGACCCUUUCCCAUCUCUUUCCCCUCUAUUUCCUGGCCCUUUCCCAGCCCUUUCCCAUCUCUUUCCCAUCUAUUUCCUGACCCUUCCCCAUCUAUUUCCUGGCCCUUUCUCAUCUCUUUCCCAUCUAUUUCCUGGCCCCUUCCUGGCCCUUUCCUGACCCUUUCCCAUCUGUUUCCCAGCCCUUUCCUGUCUAUUUCCUGGCCCUUUCCUGGCCCUUUCCCAUCUAUUUCCCAUCUAUUUCCUGGCCCUUUCCUGACCCUUUCCCAUCUAUUUCCCAUCUAUUUCCUGGCCCUUUCCUGACCCUUUCCCAUCUCUUUCCCAGCCCUUUCCCAUCUAUUUCCUGGCCCUUUCCUGUCCAUUUCCCAUCUCUUUCCCCUCUAUUUCCUGGCCCUUUCCCAUCUCUUUCCCCUCUAUUUCCUGGCCCUUUCCUGUCCAUUUCCCCUCUCUUUCCCCUCUAUUUCCUGGCCCUUUCCCAUUUAUUUCCCAUUUAUUUCCCAUUUAUUUCCCCUCUAUUUCCCCUCCCUUCCCCAUCCCUUUCCCUCCUAUUCCCCAUCCAUUUCCCACCCCGUUUCCCAUCCUCACCUUCCUCU
rnacentral:lncRNA from 1 species